GCAGGCAGGCAAGUCGACGACAGCGUUUCGAGCGGCCAAAGGCCUCCGCCAACGCACGUGCGACGUCGUCUCUCUAUCUCUUUCUUCUAUCAGCCCUCCUUCGCGCUCAACCACACAAGCACCGCCGAACACAAGGAAAAAGAAGGCGGUCUCUGUAGAAGCGAGUCACGUGCAGCGUGGCAAUGUUCCGCCUCUCGUCUCAGCGGCUUCUGUUUCACAGGCUGAGCCAGACCAAGCUCGGGUCGGAGGUGCUGGCCCAGACGCGCAGCGAGAUGCGGCACCUCGAGCGCAAAGACAACGCCCUCAUGCGCUUCAUGAGCCGACGUCGCCCGAUCGACUACUUGGCCAUCGAGGUUGACGGCCCCGUCACGAAGGAGCUUCAUCCGUCCUUCCGUCACGUCAAGAACGGCAUUACGUGCAUUGUCUUCGUCCCAUUCGUUGUACUGCUGGUCGCGGGCUACCUGCAGCCAACGUACUACCUCCUCGUUCCCACUGGCUUGGUACCCUACGACCACUACGUGCGAAUGUGGUCCUUCUCGAACUGGGCUGUUGUGUUGGCAGGGCAGCUAUUCUUCGCACUGGUGAUGUACGACUUGUCCGUCUACGCGCGGUACCCCUUCUUCGCCUACGUGCUGGCUCCAGCGUAUCGCAAGCUGGGCUGGUUCCGCCCUCCCCCAGCUGCAAGUCUCACCAUAGAGCAGCUGAAGACCGGCGCGUCUCGUCGCGUCCACGCCCGCCCGCUUGGACGCCCUCUUGGCGAGGUGCAGAGACAAAGGAAGGCUGCGGCUGCAGCGACGGCAGACCCAUUCGGACGCACUCCGCGAUCGUGACUAGGGCCGUGCUCUCCGCGACAUUUUGCGCAAAUGUCGGCCGUGUCGAUGUUUGCUCCCCCUCCCUCCCUCCCUCUCCAGUGAUCCCUGCGCGCCGGCAAACUUGCGCCUCACAGCGGGGCUGCGCUUCUCUUUCUCACACUCACAUCGGCGCGCAUGCAAACAUAAGCGAAGCCCGCGCCCGUUCAAGGAGUCGAGGUGCGUGAGAUCUACAGGGGAUCGGUGGGCGUUGCCUGUGUGCCUGCUCUUUGCCACCCCGGCACUCUCUC
rnacentral:misc_RNA from 1 species